rnacentral:rRNA from 1 species
AACGAACGCUGGCGGCAUGCCUAACACAUGCAAGUCGAACGGACGGUAGCAAUACCGUUAGUGGCGAACGGGUGAGUAACGCGUGGGAACCUGCCCAGUAGUACGGAAUAACUACGGGAAACUGUAGCUAAUACCGUAUGUGUCCCGAGGGACAAAGGAGCAAUCCGCUAUUGGAAGGGCCCGCGUCGGAUUAGCUAGUUGGUGGGGUAACGGCCUACCAAGGCGACGAUCCGUAGCUGGUCUGAGAGGAUGGCCAGCCACACUGGGACUGAGACACGGCCCAGACUCCUACGGGAGGCAGCAGUGGGGAAUAUUGGACAAUGGGGGAAACCCUGAUCCAGCAAUGCCGCGUGGGUGAUGAAGGCCUUCGGGUUGUAAAGCCCUUUUGGCGGGGACGAUGAUGACGGUACCCGCAGAAUAAGCCCCGGCUAACUUCGUGCCAGCAGCCGCGGUAAUACGAAGGGGGCUAGCGUUGUUCGGAAUUACUGGGCGUAAAGGGCGCGUAGGCGGCCCUGUCAGUCGGGCGUGAAAGCCCCGGGCUCAACCCGGGAAAUGCGUUCGAUACUGCAAGGCUUGAGUGUGGGAGAGGAUGGGGGAAUUCCCAGUGUAGAGGUGAAAUUCGUAGAUAUUGGGAAAGAACACCGGUGGCGAAGGCGGCCAUCUGGACCACUACU